rnacentral:rRNA from 1 species
GAUAAACGCUGGCGGAGUGCAUCACACAUGCAAGUCGAACGAAGUUUAUCUAUAGGGAAGAACUUAGAGAAGAACAGGUGAGUAAAGCGUAAGUAACAUGCACUGUACAGGGGGACAACAGCUGGAAACGGCUGCUAAUACCGCAUAAGCCCUUAGCACUGCAUGGUGCAUAGGGAAAAGGAGCAAUCCGGUACAGGAUGGACCCGCGUCUGAUUAGCCAGUUGGCAGGGUAACGGCCUACCAAAGCGACGAUCAGUAGCCGAUCUGAGAGGAUGUACGGCCACAUUGGGACUGAGACACGGCCCAGACUCCUACGGGAGGCAGCAGUGGGGAAUAUUGCACAAUGGAGGAAACUCUGAUGCAGCGACGCCGCGUGAGUGAAGAAGUAUUUCGUUAUGUAAAGCUCUAUCAGCAGGAAAGAAAAUGACGGUACCUGACUAAGAAGCACCGGCUAAAUACGUG